rnacentral:SRP_RNA from 1 species
GUUGAGAAUUGCAUGGGCAAACCUUUGCGCUAAGCCGGUCAGAUUCGAAAGAAAGCAGCCGUAACAUGAAGUUUUGGGUCAUGUAAUUCUCUUAGAU